UAAUACGGAGGGUGCGAGCGUUGUCCGGAAUCACUGGGCGUAAAGGGCGCGUAGGCGGCAGGCCAAGCGUGCGGUGAAAGUCCGGGGCUCAACCCCGGAUCGGCCGUGCGGACUGGUUUGCUAGAGCACUGUAGAGGCGAGUGGAAUUCCGGGUGUAGCGGUGGAAUGCGUAGAGAUCCGGAAGAACACCGGUGGCGAAGGCGGCUCGCUGGGCAGUGGCUGACGCUGAGGCGCGACAGCGUGGGGAGCAAACAGGAUUAGAUACCCUGGUAGUCCACGCCGUAAACGAUGGGCACUAGGUGCCCGGGGGAGCGACCCUCCGGGUGCCGUCGCUAACGCAUUAAGUGCCCCGCCUGGGGAGUACGGCCGCAAGGCUG
rnacentral:rRNA from 1 species